AGUUGGGGGCCCUAGCCUGUUAUAGCCAAUAGCCAAUGAUGUGGUUUUAUUAUAUCACGUGAUGUUUCAUGUAACGUCCGUGCAACAUUCACACAAACAACACCAUAAGAUUUUGAUUAAGUAAAAUAGGUCUGUUGGUCUUUUUCCGAUUCAUCGCCAUUAUUCACUAAACAGCACAGGUUUGAAUAAUAUGCAUGUACUGGUGGUUUUAAUUUGGCACAUUAUAAAUUGUAUAAAUAUAUCUAGUAAACUGUAACUAAUGAGUAAAUGAACAUGUAUUAAAGUAAUUUAUAAGUUUCAUUUUAAUCAUUUUAAACAAAAGUAGUAAUGAGUAAAAGGUAUUUAAUUAAAACUAGUUAUUCUAAUCAUAGUAAAAAAUCACAUCUCAUUUUAAUUAAAACUAAAGUAAAGUAUUAUUCUGUAUUGGUACGAUAGAUUAUAAAGUGUUUUUUAUUUAUAGGUUUCGAUGUGACAAUUCUUUGAUCUAUGUGAGACUCAUCGCCCACAGUGAAGGUUGCUACAGUGGAUGAUCGAUGAAUUGUCUCCGAUUAAUUUGCAGACCGAAUCGGCUGUGGUGCUGGGAAGUUUGUCUAAAGGAACUGAUGAGAACAUUAACGCCAUUGUAAAUGCUGGAUGUGUAUCAGUCUUGUUGAAAGGUUUGUCCAACCCAAACUUGAAGUAUGUGGAAGUGUGUCUUAGAUGUCUGUGAACAAUUUUCAUGUGCAAUAAAACAGCUACAGACCUAG